rnacentral:antisense_RNA from 1 species
CACGGAUAGUUUUAUUCCACAUUUAAUAUACGUAAAAGGGUGCUUUUGUAAAUGCAAAGAUUAAAUCAGACAGCCACUGAAUAGUAGUCUUGAAAACAUUAGCAAGUUCUUUUAGGUCCAGGGUAGAGACUGCAGUUCACUUAGCCAACUUUCUGCAUUGAGACAUCCUUGCCAGGGAUCCUGUCAGUUAUGCAAAGAUGUGGCACGAGGUAAUUCCUCUUGCUGUGAUGGUUUGUCCUCAAUGACAGGUCCCUUAUAGUAUUUAGGUACAACAAGGUCUUUUGUGCUUGGAAUGCCCUUGAAAAAGCUGCCUCACCUGUUACUGAGGGGAACCCCAAAGAGAAAGGGAGAGGAAAGGCUGAGUGCAGAAGGGCCAAGACACAGAACCCAGGUCUGAGCCACACCUCCAACUUGCUUUCUGCUGCAACCAUCUUUUCCACCUUCUUUCU